UGCUUCAAUACAGCACAAACUCCGAAUGC
rnacentral:piRNA from 1 species